CCAGUGUUUGAUGAAGAAGCAAUUAUGCAUUUUGAUUAACAUUUUUUACAGUUGAAUAUAUUAUUUGAGUUUAAUGAUGUUGAAUUGUUGAUCAUUUUAUAUUCUUAUUUUUUAGAUUUUGAAAAACACAAAUGAUUUAAAAGAGGAGUUAAAGAAAUGCAUGAGAGGUAAAGGGGAUUUAUUUACGAGUGGAGAUUUCUUGAAUGACAAGAUAAAACUGGGAACUGAUGGAGUUAAAGAAAGAUAUUAUAAAGAGAAAUUUAUGUGGACGGUUCGACCAACAUUGAGCUAAAAAGAAAAGAAGUAGUGCAAAAGUACACUGAAGGAUUAUUGUGGGUUCUUGAGUACUAUUUCUCAGGAGUUGCUUCAUGGACAUGGAAAACAAGAAGCGGUUAUUUUAUCUAGCUAAAUGAUUGUACCUGUGGGUUCAACGUUUUUGGUUCGUGAAGUAUGGUUGCUACUUGGUGCUGUUUUGUUGUCGUUUCUUGUUUUUUAGGUGUUUUAUUUAGAGAAUAUGACUUUUUGUUUUGGGAUUUGGAUUAAAGUACUCUUAGAUGAAAUGCAUGCAUCUAUAAAUUUGGCUAUGCAAAUGUCCUCUUUUUUUUAAGUACACCAAAUACCCUCUAUAUAUGUUAUGAUAUUUGUAAACAAGAGAAUUUGGUUUAAAAUGUUAUUUGGUAUUUGAUGGAUCAUAAUAUGUAUGCAAUGAGUAACUUAAAGCAUUA